UGUGCCCUACAGGCCGGUCUCACCUUUGAGCCUUUGCACCUGCCGUUCCCUCUGCCUGGCACACCAUCCUCGCCUCCCCUGCUGCCCGAGGUCCAGUCUGUCACCAGCUCAGAAGGAUCUUUUCUGAACUCCCCAUCUGUCCCGGCACAGGAGGCUCUGAUGACAAUGGUUUUUACCCACUUUGUGCAGGAGUAAUCUGCCUCUCCUCAAUCCUGCCUGCCCCCUUCUGAUCCUUCCUGGGGCCUGGGCCAUUGUGGCCCCAACCAGCCCACAUGACUUCUGGGGUGGCAGCAGCCAUCUUGUGACCAUGAGACUUCAAACAUAAAAAUGAAAAUCAAUAAGCUACGAAUGUUCAAGAAGAAGGAUGAUAAUUCUGGGUUCCUGAUGGCAUUGCUGAGACCUGAACUACCACUCCAGUCACCUACUAAAAGACAGCUUCAUGUUUCCUCUGAGACAUUAUUGCAAAUCCAUUCUUGGUUCCAAUUUUUCUGCGAGUCAGAGAUUCUUUAGUUGCAAGGAAUAGAAAUGACUCAAAAUAGCUCAAGGAAGCUGGGAAGAGUACAGAUAUCGUGGAAAUGAAAUGGAUUUGGACCUGGCAGAACCUGGAGCUGGGAGGAACCAAGAAAGUACCUUUUUCUCGAUUACUUUGUUUCCUCUCUCUUCUUUAUCUAUGUGAUCUUGCUUCUACAAUUCUCCUUUUUCUGUCUACAUACCCUGCAUCCUUGUGGCUUCUUUUCUUCCCUGUCAUUUUGGUCUCAGAUAUGCAAGCAAGAGUCUGCUAGUCUGUGGAGGAGGGAAUGCAAAAGACAGCUGGCAAGUUUCUGGUGUUCAGACUGGCCCCAAUUCCAGUCUGUUAUAGACCCAGAACCCCAGUUAACUAGAGACUUCUUGUCCCUGAGUUCAUAUUUUUAUGGAAAAAGGGUUCCCUGGACCUGCAGUGGGCUGGCACCCUGGGAUCGUCCCAUCGGCUCAUUACCUGCAAACAUCAAGGAAGAUGUGACACAAAAAUGGCUUCCCAGGUACAGCCCCGCUCCUGGGCUGUGAGUGUGCUGUUCUUGAGGGCAGCAGGCUGUCAGAAUUUAACUGUGACUUCCCUGGGGUGCUGGGACCCAGGGAGAACCCUCAAUGUGUCUCCCAGAACCACAGUAAACAGCUUGACUGGUUGACCCAGCAACCCUCCCCGUGAGGACCUUGUCUUCCAGGCCCCCCCGGGAUUGCUCUUUUGCUCCCAGAAGGGUGAGCCAUUACCUGCUUGUGCUGUGGAGGUGCCCGAGGCCCAGCAGGAACCACGGGCUUGCUGGUCCUGCACUGUAUGAAUCGUGUAACCAUUGGUCCAUCUUCCCGAGCUUCCGUUUCUCCACCUGCAGGACAGGUGUGGGGUCCCUAACCCCCACUUGGGAAGGCUGAAGGUAGCAGAUGCUAAGUGUCUAAUAGAUAGGCAGUCCCUAUAUCUCAGGCAGUGUGGUUCUACUUAUGGUUUUUCGACUUUAUGACGGUAUGAAAGCAAUAGCAUUCAGUAGAAACCAUACCUCAAAUUUUUAAUUUUGACCUUUUCCCAGGCUGGUAACAUGUGGCACAUUAUCUCGUGACGCUGGGCAGCCACAGCCACAGCUCCCAAUCAGACACACGGUCAGGAGGGCGAAUAAUCGAUACGCUUACAGCCGUUCUGUACCCAGACAACCAUUCUGGUUUUCACUUUCAAUAUAGCAUUCAAUCAGUUACAUAAGAGAGGCAACAUUUCAUUAUAAAACAGGCUUUGUGUUAGAUGAUUUUGUCCAACUGUGGGCUGACAUAAGUGUUCUGAGCGUGUCUAAGGUAGACUGGGCUAAGCCACGAUCUUUGGUAGGUUAUCUGCAAAACUGCCUUUCGGAUUUAUGACAUUCUCAAUUUACAUUGGGUUUAUUGGGAUAUAAUCCAGUUGUAAGAUGAGGAAGAUCUGUAGUGGAUGGUAUUGGAGAUACUAAAAAGUGAUGGCUGAGUAACAAUAAUGGUGCUGAUAAUGAUGAACAUACCUUACUAAGAAAUAAACUCCCUUGACCUGUUA